ACCCCGCCUGGAAACUAAGCAUAUCAAUAAGCGGAGGAAAAGAAACUAACAAGGAUUCCCCUAGUAACUGCGAGUGAAGCGGGAAAAGCUCAAAUUUAAAAUCUGGCGGUCUUUGGCUGUCCGAGUUGUAGUCUGGAGAAGUGCUUUCCGCGCUGGACCGUGUAUAAGUCUCUUGGAACAGAGCGUCAUAGAGGGUGAGAAUCCCGUCUUUGACACGGACUACCAGUGCUUUGUGAUGCGCUCUCAAAGAGUCGAGUUGUUUGGGAAUGCAGCUCAAAAUGGGUGGUAAAUUCCAUCUAAAGCUAAAUAUUGGCGAGAGACCGAUAGCGAACAAGUACCGUGAGGGAAAGAUGAAAAGCACUUUGGAAAGAGAGUUAAACAGUACGUGAAAUUGCUGAAAGGGAAACGCUUGAAGUCAGUCGCGUCUGCCGGAACUCAGCCUUGCUUUUGCUUGGUGCACUUUCCGGUUGACGGGCCAGCAUCGAUUUUGACCGUCGGAAAAGGGCUGGAGAAAUGUGGCACCUCCGGGUGUGUUAUAGUCUCCAGUCGCAUACGGCGGUUGGGAUCGAGGAACGCAGCGCGCCGCAAGGCAGGGGUUCGCCCACUUUCGCGCUUAGGAUGCUGGCGUAAUGGCUUUAAACGACCCGUCUUGAAACACGGACCAAGGAGUCUAACAUGCCUGCGAGUGUUUGGGUGGUAAACCCGAGCGCGUAAUGAAAGUGAAAGUUGAGACCUCUGUCGUGGAGGGCAUCGACGCCCGGACCUGACGUUCUCUGAAGGAUCCGCGGUAGAGCAUGUAUGUUGGGACCCGAAAGAUGGUGAACUAUGCCUGAAUAGGGUGAAGCCAGAGGAAACUCUGGUGGAGGCUCGUAGCGAUUCUGACGUGCAAAUCGAUCGUCAAAUUUGGGUAUAGGGGCGAAAGACU
rnacentral:rRNA from 1 species